rnacentral:rRNA from 1 species
UGGACGGAACGGGUGAAGUAACGACGGUCGGACACUCGACCAAAGGGGGGAGUAACACUUGGAAACAGGUGCUAAUACCGCAUAACCAUAGUUACCGCAUGGUAACUAUGUAAAAGGUGGCUAUGCUACCGCUUUUGGAUGGGCCCGCGGCGCAUUAGCUAGUUGGUGGGGUAAAGGCUUACCAAGGCAAUGAUGCGUAGCCGAACUGAGAGGUUGAUCGGCCACAUUGGGACUGAGACACGGCCCAAACUCCUACGGAAGGCAGCAG